rnacentral:lncRNA from 1 species
UUACUUUUCUUCUUCCCUGAAAACAACCAGAGAGCUGUAAAUGGAAGAAUCAAAAAGAAAAUGAAAAUAGUUAAGACCCACAGAACUCUCUACCUUGAGCCACAUAUGCAUCACCCCCACCCACUAGGAGUGAACUUGUGGAUCCCUCUUUGUGUUCUCACCCACUAGGAGUGAACUUGUGGAUCCCUCUUUGUGUUCUCCCCUCUGUACGACGGCUCCAGUACGCGUCCAUGGAUCCCCAGGGAUCUGUGUGCCUUUGAAACUAGGCGUUUGUGGGAACAAGAGCCAUAGCUUUAUUCAGAUUCCCGGAGGAUCCUGACCGGCAAAAAGUUAUGUCUCUGAUAGGCCCCUAAUGCCUUCAGGCAGCCUGAGAGCCACGUGACAGAGCCAGGCACUCGGAAGAGCAAGGAUGACAGGUAUCACGUUCACUGACGCCUCAUACGUGCUACAGAAAAGCUAUCUGUUCUCUCCGGCUCUGCUGUCCCCGUCUGCCAAACGUUGGGUUGUGGGCAGUAAGCCACCCAGGUGCCGAGGCAAGACACUGAAGGCACGAGCUGUUCCAGUGUAAUAGAGAAUAUAAUUAGAAUAAGAAAAGUUAUACUAGAAAUAGGAUAUAGAUAUAAUUAUAUACCAAUAUUAUCAAUCAUUAGUUUGUAGUAUUACUCUUUACUAUUAUAAUAAUCUCUGUUCUAUAAUUAUAACCUAGGAAAAACCAGGCCAUACAGAGUCAGGAGCUGAAGGACACUGUGAGAGGUACCAGAAGACAAGAGUGUGAGCCCUCUGUUACGCCCAGAUAAGGGUCGCUUGAAGGCUCCCCGGACCACUGGUAGCACCAGUGCCUGGGAAGGCACCUGUUACUUUGCAGACCGGCAAAGGGAGUCUCCCUCUCCCCAGGGUAGUCAGAGAACACUCUGCUCCACCACAUCUUGUGGGAGGCCUGACAUUACCCAGGCCUGCCCGCAGUCAUCCACGGGCUUAAACAGCUCCCUGUGGUGCUUCAACGGUCACGCUCCUUGUCCACUUUCAUGCUCCACCUGUACACCUGGCUCCUGCUUUUCAGUUCUUAGAAGAUAGCAGUAGCACAAUUAGUGAAAGUAUUAUAAAUAAUUAGGUAUGCUUUUAAUCCCAGUGACUCAGGAGGCUGAGGCAGGAGAAUUGCUUGAAUCUGGGAGGCAGAGGUUGCAGUGCACAGUGGUUGGCCGGGCUCUGUGGCUCACCCCUGUAAUUCCAGCACUUUGGGAGACGGAGGCAGGAGGAUACUCUGAGGUCAGGAGUUCAAGGCCAGCCUGACCAACAUGGUGAAACCCCAUCUCUACUAAAAAUACAAAAAAUGAGCCGGGCGUGGUGGUGCAUGCCUGUAGUCCCAGCUACUCGGGAGGCUGAAGCACAAGAAUCGCUGGAACCCGGGAGGCGGAGGCUGCAGUGAGCCAAAAUCCCACCACUGCACUCCAGCCUGGGCGACAGAGCAAGACUCUGUCUCCAAAAAAAAAGCAAUCCAUUACUUAUAACUUUCACCAUAAAAGCUGUUAUAACAACUGCCAAAGUUAAGCAUUAUUUUCUUAAACUUUUGUUUAAGUCAGACACUGCAUGCACUGCAUGAACUUCUGAGGAUAUGUUUAAAGAUGUUUAAAGAACACAGAACUGGGCAAAGCCACAGUGUUAACUACAAAAAGGAACAAAAGGAAUGUCUACCUGAGGCCAGUCGCAGUGGCUCAUGCCUGUAAUCACAACACAGGGAGGCCGAGGCAGGAGGAUCGCUUGAACCCAGGAGUUCGAGAGCAGCCUGGGCAACACAGCGAGACCCCAUUCCUAUAAAUAAUAAAAAACUUAGCAAGACACCAUUCCUGCAAAUUAUAAAAAAAAUUAUUCAAGCCGUGAGGUCAAAGACACUUACAGCCCUCGAUGUUCGGGUGGCUGAGGUGUGAGGAUCUCUUGAGCCCAGGAGGUGGAGGCUGCAGGGAGCAGUGUGGAUGUACCACUGCAUUCCAGCCUGGACCACAAAGGGAGACCACGCCUCAAAAAGAAAAAAAAAUACACCUACCUGAAUGUACCCAGACCCUCUACCUUCCAGAAAAGGAAGUGGGCUGAGGAGAGAAUCCUCACAACUUUAAUACUUAGCUCUCUGUCCCCUUAACGCUCACGACAACAGGCUCUUCUAAGCUGCCCCGAGCUGUCCACUGUUCUCAGCACCGAGCGUCAGUACACCUAGCUCAUCUUCACACUCUACUUAGCAGGUGCUGUGAGCACUCCCAUCCUAAAGUUGAGGACUCAGGCACACAGCAAGUGAACCCCGCCCCAGAUAACAGUGGCUAGCGGCAGGGCCGGGCCUGAUGGAAGGCAGCAGGAGCUCGCGUGCAGCAGAAGCAGUGAAAGCUGCUUGGGCCUGCACCUAAAUCCUGCCGGACCCGCCGCUACCUGGGCGACCGCUCCUGCACCUAAACCCAGCCGGACCCACCGCUUCCCCGGCGGCCGCACCUGCACCUAAACCCCGCGGGACCUGCCGCUUCCCGGGCGGCCACACCUGCAUGCCGUGGUAGCCCUUGCCCGAAUAGGCCAUGAGCAGCACGAUCUUCCGCUUGGGCAGCUUCUCGCGCCGUUCCUCGUCCCCACAGCUCUUGAGCUUCUUCGUCGGAUGCUCUCCGUCCUCCCAGACGCGGUCGCCCCCGGCCCAGCCGCUGCAGGACCUCCGGUCCCGGGGGCAUGCGGCUCCGGCGGGCAGCGGCUCCGCGUUCCCGGCCAUGCGCGGCGAGCUGCGGAGAAGGGCGGCGUGAGCGGGGGCCCGCUCGGCACCGCGCGGGGUGGACUGGGGUGGGGUGGGCUGGGCGGGCAUAGCGGGGUCGCCCGGCGUCGCGGUCAUUACCAGGACGGACGCGGUCCCAGGCGCAGGGUCCACCGUCCGAAGUCUCCCAACAGCGCGCGAAGCUGGACGCCCAUGCGCAGGCUACCAGUGCACCCGAUCCCGCCCUGAUCCCCGACCCCUGACCCCCAGUGCCCCAGCUCCGCCUCUGCCGACCCCUAACCUCUCAGACUCUGACGCUGCAGCCCUGUUCCUUCUGACCCCUGACCUCCGGGAAACCGGCGCCCCAGCCCCUCUCCAGCUAACCCCUGACCUCCCGGACCCGCACACCCCAAGCCCGCUCCUGCUGGCCCCUGACCUCUCGGACCUGGACGCCCCAGCCUCACUCCUGCUGACCCCUGACCUCUCAGGCCCCGCGCCCAAGCCCCGUCUCUACUGCCCCCAGACCGCCCCGGGACCCUGACGGAGAAACUCCAACGUCCCCUGACGCCCAGGUUAACCUCUGACUUCCCCAGCC